UCUGGUUUAUUCUCAGACUCACAUGCAGCUACAUAGCUGACUAGGGAUGGUACCACCCACAGACUUGGCAACUGACUUUGGCAACUCUCCAACUGAGUUUCAGUUUUCCCAGAUGUCAAUUGUCAGUAGCUCUUGAGACAGAGUUUAGACUUCUUCCCCACACCUUCCAUGAUGAAAUUUCAUCUGCCUUGUGAUUACACUUGUCUUGCGAAUGCUGGCAUAACUGCUAUGGCUUCACAUGUACAACUGCCCUGUUAUGUAGAUGUAUGAGGUCACCCCAUGGCAAUGUCUUCUCUGGGCCAAGAGUAGCUCUGACUCUCUUUAUGAACUUCGUGAUAUCUCUGACAUUUCAUCAGCAAACCUUCAUG